rnacentral:lncRNA from 1 species
AUUACUAUUGUCAGAUAUGUCCUCAAAAUCACCAAUAGUCAAUAGGCACAACAGUUUGGGGACAUGUCCUCAAACUAACCGUUUCCCAAAAAAAAAGUUUGAGGACGGUCCCCAAACUUGACUAAUGUCCUCAAACUCACCAUUAAGUAACCGAUACUGUCCCCAAACUUUACGAGUUACAUAUAUAUAUAUAUAUAUAUAUAUGUAUAAUAAAAAAAAUUGUUCAUAAGAUCAAUUUUUUUUUCUUACAAGUAAUGGGGGAAUGUAACGUUGAGUGAUACUCAUCGUCACUUUAUAAUAUGCAUUUCAAAAUAUUUAUUAGGAAAAGCAACUCCCAAUAAGUAUGCAACCAAAUAUACUUCAGCGUGUAGUAGGUAUUGCCUAGAUUUUAAUAAGUAUUUGGACAAAGUUGGUGACUUUUAGGGGAAUUCGUAAUCUAGAAGUUGGUCCGUGUGUCGAUACGGCUUCCGGCUGACGUGUUUGUCAUUGCUUCGGGGAGAGCAGGCCAGCACUUAAUUUUCAACUCUUGUACAGAAGACAUCUGAUCUCCCGAUCUCCGGUGGCCAUUGCCAGAAUUUACCUUUUAGUUGAAAAAGUUAUAAGAUUAAUUUACGUUGGAGGAAGUUUUUAUUUUGUUUUGGGUUUUGUGAAGAGUUUGAGGAGAAGAGUUUUUGUUUCCAAUACUUUUUUGAAGAGCAAUGGCCACUGGAGAAAAAGGAAAUUAAGUCACCAUUUUUGUUUUUGUUGGAUAUGGAAUAAGCAAUCAGUUUGGGGUUUCUUUUGGUGUGGAUUGGGAUUUUAUGUUUUUUUGGAAUCAACAUUGAUUUUUACCGGUACUAGUAAGUACCUCCUCAUCGGACCAUCCGUAUUGUGGUUGAGUAUCUCCCCAGGAUUGGAAACCGGAGGAUACCUACCUGGCUCUCCCAUCGUCAACCUCUCAAGGAGUUUGGAGAAGCCUCCGUCCCUACUUUUGUAGAAGCGACAGGUUUUUAUUAUAAAAUAUACAUUUUCAAUUCUUUUAAAUAACUGCUUGCAAUAUUAAUAUUUUUUCCAAUAAAUUAGAAAUAACCUUAAUAAUCAUAUAAACUCAUUUUUUCUAAAAUCACCAUUUGUAAUAUUCAAUCAUUUUUUUUUCAACAAGUUUUAUCGUUCACUGUUCGUACCAUUCAUUUAAAAUAGUCCGGGAAUUAUAAACUAUAUGUUAAGGUGUUGUAUACAAUAUCUACGGUUUUAAUUCCUAUUUAAUAACCUUUAUUUCAGUUAACAGGUAUGGUACUCAGGGUUAUCACUUAGGUCAGAUACGAGAUUGUCAACCAAUACUGUAACCAAUAUCCAUAAUACAUUUUUGUUUAAGUAAAUAACUUGUGAUUCCCAAUAACUGUCUUGAUCUAACUAAUUAAGUUCUUUGUUUUAAUUUUUAUUGCGAUCUCAUUGUCGACAGGAGCGUACUUUUCUAGUACAACAGGUACUGAUUAGCUAGUUUGUAUAAAAUUGUAUAUAGGGGUUAUAGGUUUUUUUUCAUUAAAUUUGUUGGUUGUACAUA